AUAUCAAUAAGCGGAGGAAAAGAAACCAACAGGGAUUGCCCCAGUAGCGGCGAGUGAAGCGGCAAGAGCUCAGAUUUGAAAUCGUGUUUCGGCACGAGUUGUAGAGUGUAGGCGGGAGUCUUUGUGGAGCGCGGUGUCCAAGUCCCUUGGAACAGGGUGCCUGAGAGGGUGAGAGCCCCGUAGGGUGCUGCGCGAAGCUUUUGAGGCCCUGCUGACGAGUCGAGUUGUUUGGGAAUGCAGCUCCAAGCGGGUGGUAAAUUCCAUCUAAGGCUAAAUAUUGGCGAGAGACCGAUAGCGAACAAGUACUGUGAAGGAAAGAUGAAAAGCACUUUGAAAAGAGAGUGAAACAGCACGUGAAAUUGUUGAAAGGGAAGGGUAUUGGGCUCGACAUGGGGGGUGCGCACCGCUGUCUCUUGUAGGCGGCGCUCUGGGCGCCCUCUGGGCCAGCAUCGGUUCCUGCUGCGGGAGAAGGGGCUCCGGAAAGUGGCUCUUCGGAGUGUUAUAGCCGGGGCCAGAUGCCGCGUGUGGGGACCGAGGACUGCGGCUUCUGUCUCGGAUGCUGGCAUAACGGCGCA
rnacentral:rRNA from 1 species